GACGAACGCUGGCGGCGUGCUUAACACAUGCAAGUCGAACGGAAAGGCCCUGCUUUUGUGGGGUGCUCGAGUGGCGAACGGGUGAGUAACACGUGAGUAACCUGCCCUUGACUUUGGGAUAACUUCAGGAAACUGGGGCUAAUACCGGAUAGGAGCUCCUGCUGCAUGGUGGGGGUUGGAAAGUUUCGGCGGUUGGGGAUGGACUCGCGGCUUAUCAGCUUGUUGGUGGGGUAGUGGCUUACCAAGGCUUUGACGGGUAGCCGGCCUGAGAGGGUGACCGGCCACAUUGGGACUGAGAGACGGCCCAGACUCCUACGGGAGGCAGCAGUGGGGAAUAUUGCACAAUGGGCGGAAGCCUGAUGCAGCAACGCCGCGUGCGGGAUGACGGCCUUCGGGUUGUGAACCGCUGUCGCCUGUGACGAAGCGUGAGUGACGGUAAUGGGUAAAGAAGCACCGGCUAACUACGUG
rnacentral:rRNA from 1 species